CACAUAUUAUAUUAUAUAAAUUAUUAAUAGUACAAGUGCGAUCAAGAGGGGCUGCGUAACCAUAGUUAGUACUUUAGUAGCAUGAUAUUUCGUUUUAAAACUUUGAGAAUUUCUAGAAUAAAAAAAAGAAACCAUUAAUGAUAAUUUGGAAAGUAAAUCUGGGGCAUCUGUCUUAUUAUUAAUUAAUUGCAGAUUAAUUCCGCAACAAAAUAAGCACACUUUUAUGCACAUCAUUAUAGAAUAAUUGAUGAAGUGACUAAAUAAUAGAAGACUAUUCAAACAUCGAACGAACUAAAGCCAUAUAGAGAGUGUUUAAUGCGUAAAUAUUAGAGAAACCAAAAGUGUUACGAUUUAUAAACCCAAGCGUCUUUAUUGAUUUGUUACAAACAUGAUUAAUAUGAUCUUUAAAUUAUAGAUCGUAAUGUAAGAAAUAAAUCAAAUAAUUAAUAACGGGAACGAAAAUUAAAUAUAUAUAUAUAUUCAAUUCCAUAUUUUUUUAUCAAAUAACAUAUAUUUUAAUGCGGUAUUUACUCAUCGUAAGGAUAUGAUACUUAAGCUAUCAUAUAUAAUUAAAAUAAAAUGUAUUAUCAAUAUUGUUAAAUAAUCAUAAUAAUUUAUAGCCAUUAAUUAUUAGAUUGAGUUGUUAGUAUUAACCAGAUUAAGAUAAUACAUUUACACACGCACACACACAUAGAUCUCCAGUUAUAAGGAGGCCGGCCACUUCUAAUCAAACCUCAGUGUAUGUAUCGUUCCCGUUGCUUUUGGACAGUUGAUCACAAGCGAGUGUAAAAGACUACGCACAGAUUCUUACAAAAGCACGGAAAAAUAGAACAGUGUUUUAUAUUUAAAAAAAAACUAAUAAAAAAAAAAACAGUUGUUACAUUAAAAUCGUUUUAUUUACUUCGGUCACCUUUAUCAAAUUCAACAGAUCAAUUUGCCGCCUGAAGAAGAAAGGUAAUCAAAUUUAUAAUUAA